rnacentral:rRNA from 1 species
CAGAGGUGUAAGUGCAGUAAUGUAUUUAGCUGACUGAUACUAAUAGGUCGAGGGCUUGACCA